GUCCCUGUAGCGCAAUGCAUAGCGCGUUGGGUUUCUGAUCCAAAGGUCGUGGGCUUGAGUCUCACCUGGGAUG